AACAAUCGGCGGGCAAUACGAUCAAUCCGUAUCGCGGGCCGAGCGAAUCCAAUGAUCUACAGAGCAAACAAGUGCAAUCAAUAAGAAGCAAGAGGGAAGUAAACAAGGAGUGAAGGAGUGGGGAGAAGGAGAAGUAGCGGGACGCGGUAUGCAUCGUCAUUCUUUUGGUUGUUUGUUCGCCCGUUCGCUUAGCAUGAGAUAUCGCAUCUCAAAAACGUGAUAAUGCAAAGAACGCAUUCGCGCAGAGGAAAGAUGAGAUUUGUUUUGCGAAGAACCAGUUCGGAGCCAAUAGGGUGCUGGCACGAAGGUAUGUUGUUUUCGCAAACAUUUUCAUAUAAUAACUUACAACCGUCAAGUAUUUUCUUAUAAAAACUUUUGAAAUUCUUACUUUUCUAAAGCUCAAAUAUAUUGGGAUUUUUAAAUAAACGUUAAAAACGUUACUUAGCUUACGUCAACAAUAAAGAGAACUUUUUUUUUGUUACAGAGUGUGACGUAUGCAGAAAGUGGCCAAGCGCUCAGUGAGUACACUUUUUUUUUGUGGUGGUGGUUUAAAAUCAGUGCGAAGCGCGCGUGUAGAUCUUUGUUUUUACGAGUCUUGAAACAUCGAGCACAUAAUUUGAAUAUAUUCUGUAUUGAUAUAUAUGCAAUUAUGUUUAAGAUUCACAUUAAAAUAUUAUGUUUUGUAACAAUAAGAUAUGAAAAGAAUUAUGCUCGAAUCUAUAUAAGAAGUUGAAAGAAAGA